CAAUAGCGUAUAUUAAAGUUGUUGCAGUUAAAAAGCUCGUAGUUGGAUUUCUGGUGGGAGCGAUCGGUCUGGCGCUUAGCGCGAGUACUUGCAUCGUCUCCGGCCAUCCUUGGGGAGAGUCUGUCUGGCAUUAGGUUGUCGGGCAGAGGAUCCUCAUCGUUUACUGUGAAAAAAUUAGAGUGUUCAAAGCAGGCUUAUGCCGUUGAAUAUAUUAGCAUGGAAUAAUAAGAUAGGACUUUGGUACUAUUUUGUUGGUUUGCGAACCAAAGUAAUGAUUAAUAGGGACAGUUGGGGGUAUUCGUAUUCCGUUGUCAGAGGUGAAAUUCUUGGAUUUACGGAAGACGAACUACUGCGAAAGCAUUUACCAAGGAUGUUUUCAUUAA
rnacentral:rRNA from 1 species